GAUGAACGCUAGCGGCAGGCCUAACACAUGCAAGUCGAGGGAGGAGCUUUCGGGCUUCGACCGGCGUACGGGUGCGUAACGCGUAUACAAUCUGCCUUUCACAUAGGGAUAGCCCGAAGAAAUUUGGAUUAAUACCUAAUGGUAUAUAGAGGUGGCAUCACCUUUAUAUUAAAGCUGAGGCGGUGAAAGAUGAGUAUGCGUUCUAUUAGCUAGUUGGAGAGGUAACGGCUCCCCAAGGCGACGAUAGAUAGGGGUUCUGAGAGGGAUAUCCCCCACACUGGUACUGAGAUACGGACCAGACUCCUACGGGAGGCAGCAGUGAGGAAUAUUGGACAAUGGUCGGAAGACUGAUCCAGCCAUGCCGCGUGCAGGAAGACGGCCUUAUGGGUUGUAAACUGCUUUUGCAGGGGAAGAAUAAGGACUACGCGUAGUUUGAUGACGGUACUCUGCGAAUAAGCAUUGGCUAACUCCGUG
rnacentral:rRNA from 1 species